rnacentral:rRNA from 1 species
CCUACGGGGUGCAGCAGUGGGGAAUAUUGGACAAUGGGCGAAAGCCUGAUCCAGCCAUGCCGCGUGUGUGAAGCAGGCCUUCGGGUUGUAAAGCACUUUCAGUGGGGAAGAAAGCCUUGGGGCUAAUACCCUCGAGGAAGGACAUCACCCACAGAAGAAGCACCGGCUAACUCCGUGCCAGCAGCCGCGGUAAUACGGAGGGUGCGAGCGUUAAUCGGAAUUACUGGGCGUAAAGCGCGCGUAGGCGGUCUGAUAAGCCGGUUGUGAAAGCCCCGGGCUCAACCUGGGAACGGCAUCCGGAACUGUCAGGCUAGAGUGCAGGAGAGGAAGGUAGAAUUCCCGGUGUAGCGGUGAAAUGCGUAGAGAUCGGGAGGAAUACCAGUGGCGAAGGCGGCCUUCUGGACUGACACUGACGCUGAGGUGCGAAAGCGUGGGUAGCAAACAGGAUUAGAUACCCGGGUAGUC